rnacentral:antisense_RNA from 1 species
CUUCACGGAGCCGAGCCACAGGGGAUCGUGGUCGCCCCGGUCCCGCCCGUAGGUGGCGAGCAGGGCCUGCGCCUC